AUUGAACGCUGGCGGCAUGCCUUACACAUGCAAGUCGAACGGUAACGGGUCCUUCGGGAUGCCGACGAGUGGCGAACGGGUGAGUAAUAUAUCGGAACGUGCCCAGUAGUGGGGGAUAACUGCUCGAAAGAGCAGCUAAUACCGCAUACGACCUGAGGGUGAAAGGGGGGAUCGCAAGACCUCUCGCUACUGGAGCGGCCGAUAUCAGAUUAGCUAGUUGGUGGGGUAAAGGCCUACCAAGGCAACGAUCUGUAGUUGGUCUGAGAGGACGACCAGCCACACUGGGACUGAGACGCGGCCCAGACUCCUACGGGAGGCAGCAGUGGUGAAUUUUGGACAAUGGGCGCAAGCCUGUUCCAGCAAUGCCGCGUGCAGGAAGAAGGCCUUCGGGUUGUAAACUGCUUUUGUACGGAACGAAAAGCCCUGGGUUAAUACCCUGGGGUCAUGACGGUACCGUAAGAAUAAGCACCGGCUAACUACGUGCCAGCCGCCGCCGUAA
rnacentral:rRNA from 1 species